AAAUAAAAUAUCGUUACAUCUUUUGGUGUUGCGGAUCUGGGUUUUCCGGUUUUAAGUCGGUUACCUAAAAUUAAGGAUUAUAUAAUGUGAUACGUACUAAAAUAAAAGUCGUUAAUCAUUAAUCUUUAUUACAUUACCAACUAUUAUGUUUUUAGUAGGAGGAGUGUAUAAUUUUUUGA
rnacentral:misc_RNA from 1 species